CAAACAAAAUUUCCAAAUCUGUUGGAUUUAAACAGUUACCAGUACUUUCUCUUGUUAUUGUUGGUUCUGGAGUACUAAAUGAGGUUUUGGAAAGAACUUCCAUUAAGCUCAUAAAGUGCUCUUCUUUUUCAUCCUUUUCAUCUGAUUUUGGAUAGCUUUCUGAUAUGGUCUUAGUAGUAGUACUUGUUGGUAAAGAACCAUCAUCUUCUUCUUCAUCUGUUCCUUUUGUGCUUCUUAAGUUUCCCCUGGCCAUUUCACUUGUUGUUGGUUUUGUUGAACAAGCUGUUCCUGGAAUUUUUGUUGUUGUGGUUGUAAUUAAAUGAACAUCAUCAUCAUUACACUUUCCAAAAUGUAAGGCAGUCAGUCCCUCAUCAUCGCAUUGAGCAUUCUUAAAUGUACAUGGAUUGCCAUAAGUCACCCCAUCGUUUCCACAAAUUGGACGGUAUUCUCUUGUACAUGGAGUUUUGCAAUUUGGACCUCUUUCACGAUCUAAAGGACCUGGGAGACCUCUACCACCAACAUCAACAUUGGGAGAUUCAACAUUUUCUUCAGUGGUGAGACAUUUACCCCAAUGAACAAAUUCGAGGUUUGGAUCUUCACAUUGAGAAUUUCUAAAGUGGGAGAUAUUUGUGUAAGUUUUUCCAUCAGAACCACAUAUUGGUCUAUAAUCCAUUGUCACAAAUGGAGUGACACAGUCUGGACCUCUGACUCUGUCAAAUGGACCCAAUGGAAGUGUCUCAAAUGGACCAGAAUCCUUGGUAAAUAUGAUUGCCGUGAUUUUAUCAGCAUCAUUACUGUCACAAACUCCCCAGUGGAGGAAUUUAAGUUUCUCAUCAUCGCAUUGAGCAUUUCUGAAGUAGCAAUCAUUUGCAUAAAUGGUACCAGUACUUGAGCAAACUGGAUUGUAAUAUUUAGAACAUUCUUGUUUACAAUUUGGACCUCUUUUCCUAUCAAAUGGACCUAAAUCUGCCUUAAUUACUUUUGGAGGAUUCUUCUGAUCUUCUUCACUAUCGUAAACUCUGGCCAUGUAAUGCUCCAAGGUAGAAUCAUCACACAUUGCAUUUAAUAAAUAGCAAAUAUUUUUGUACUCCUUUCCAUCACUACCGUAAACUGGUGAAUCUAAACUACUGCAUGGCUUCUUACAAUCAGGCCCUCUGAUUCUAUAGAGAACAUAGUUAUAUCUAUAAAACUCAGAGUUUAUCUCACCAACUGGACUUAAAUCCUUAUGUUGUUCAGGCUCACCACUACAUUCUCCGAAAUAAGCAAAUUCGAGAUUUGAGUUAUCGCACUGAGCAUUUCUGAAUUCACAUGGAUUUGGAUAAGUAGUACCGUCUGUCCCACAUACUGGGUCAAACUCUCUAGUGCAUGGAGUUCUGCAUCCUGGACCUCUAACUCUGUCAAAAGGACCCAAAGGUUCACGUGCUUGAUCUGCAUCAAAGGUACGUUUCUCAAUUCCAACUGGAGCCUGAGAUGGUUGAGCUGGCUUGUUACAUAUACUCUUGCUGCAUUCUCCCCAAUGGAGGAAUUGAAGAUUCACAUUAUCACAUUGUGCGUUUCUGAAUUCGCACGGAUUUGAAUAUGUCACUCUAUUUGAUCCACAGACUGGGUUAUACUCCCUAGUACAAGGUGUCUUACAACCUGGGCCUCUAACUCUGUCAAAAGGACCUAAUGGAAUCAAAUUCCCAAAGUAUUCCUCAUAACCUUCAAAACAGACUCCCCAGUAUCUGAAUUCAAGAUUUUCAUCAUCGCAUUGAGCAUUUCUGAAAUGGGAAACAUUUUCGUAAGUCUUUCCGUUAGUACCACAAAUUGGAUAGUAUUUGAAAUCAACAAAGACUGUCUUACAGUCUGGACCUCUAACUCUAUCAAAUGGACCCAAUGGUUCCAAUUCAAAAGGACCAGAUUCUGCGAUAAAGAUGAUUCCAUUAAUCUUGUCAGCAUCAUUACUAUUACAAACUCCCCAAUGGAGGAAUCCAAGCUUUUCAUCAUCACACUGAGCAUUUCUGAAGUAGCAUUCAUUUGCAUAAACAGUACCAGUACUUGAACAGAUUGGAUCAUAGAACUUUGGACAAUCUUGUUUACAUUUUGGACCUCUUGGUCUAUCCAAGCUUCCCAAAUCUUCUCUCUUCUUUUUAUUAGCUUGAGAUUCUUCUAAAGUACAUUCUCCCCAAUGUUUGAAUUCAAGAUUUUCAUCUUCACAUUGAGCAUUUCUGAAGCCCGAGAUAUUUGAAUAAGUCUUUCCAUCUGAGCCACAAAUCAAGUUUAAUUCAUAAGUUACAUAAGGAGUGACACAGUCUGGACCUCUAAUUCUAUCGAAUGGACCUAAUGGAGGCCUUUCUAUUGGUUCUUCUGGCUUAAUUUGUGUGAGACAUUCUCCCCAGUGAGCAAAGUUCAAAUUCUUAUCAUCACACUGAGCAUUUCUAAAUACUGAAGUAUUGUCAUAGGUUUUUCCAUCAGAACCACAAAUUGGGUCAAGAUCCAAAGUGACAAAUGGAGUUUUACAAUUUGGACCUCUGACUCUGUCAAAUGGACCCAAUGGAGGUCUUUCUGUUGAUUCUUCUGGCUUAACUUGUGUGGGACAUUCUCCCCAGUGGACGAAUUCCAAAUUCUCAUCAUCGCAUUGAGCGUUUCUGAAAAGUGCGACAUUCGAGUAAGUUUUUCCAUCAGAGCCACAUAUUGGUCUAUAAUCUGCUGUAACGAAUGGAGUUUUGCAAUCUGGACCUCUAACUCUAUCAAAUGGACCUAAUGGAGAACCUUCCUGGAAGUCAACUAUUGGCACUGCAGUGGUAGUAGUGGUAGUAGUGGUAGUAGUAGUAGUAGUGGCAGUGGUGGUAGUAGUGGUAGUGGAAAUUGGAGAUGGGACAAUACCUUGUGGCAAAUAUGGACGUUUGGAGAUGAGUUGUUCACGGCCCUUAAGUGAACUUAGAGUUCCUUUGCAUCUUCCCCAAUGUUUGAAUUCAAGAUUUUCAUCAUCGCACUGAGCAUUUCUGAAAAUAGAAACAUUAUCAUAUGUGUUUCCAUCAGAACCACAAAUUAGCUUUAAAUCAAAAGUAACAAAUGGAGUUUUACAACCUGGACCUCUAGUUCUAUCAAAUGGACCUAAUGGAGGAAUACUAUCACCAACUCCUGUUAAUUCUGCAGUAGUAGUAGUAGUUCUUUUUGAAGAACUAGCUGGGAAAAUAUAUACUGGACUUGUACUGUUAACAGUAAUAUUGCCUAAAGUAUAAUUAUACUUGAAUUUCUCAGCACAUGCUGACAAACUAAUGAGAUACCCAGCCAAAAUGGCAAAAAUUAAGUUAGAAAAAACAAUUCUCUCCAUAUUUUAAUAAUUAUGUAAAAGAAUUACUUUACUGAUUAACGAC
rnacentral:antisense_RNA from 1 species